CCACGUAAAUUUAUUACUGCAAAGCUUUCGAUCCGUAAGGCCGGAUCUUCAUCAGUGCUAAUAAUUACGGAUCGAAAGCUUUGCAGUAAUAAAUUUACGUGGUGUUUCCA